ensembl:lncRNA novel transcript
GCAGGCAUUUUACAGACCUUGCUUUCCUAGACCUGCUCAAGUAGAACAUUCAGGGACAAGACCAUGGAUGCAGCACAUGGCCACAAGGCAGUUUCAAGAUGCCCAUGUCAGGCAGAGGAUGGCUCAGUGGUCUCUAACCCACCUAACAUUUCAUGAACUUUACUCCUGGUCCCGCUCCCAAAUUAGACACUGGAGAUAAUGGAUCACUAUACUGCACUGAAGACUCGGAGGGGUUGAGCCGCUGGAGCCACGCAAAUUCAGACACCUCUUCCGCCCCAGGUCACUCUACUCGCCCACGCUGCCUGCCACACCCAUCCGGUUGUGCGGGACACUCCCCGCGUUUCUUCAGCGAUUCUUAUCGGGCUCCCUCCUUGUUCAAUAAAGGUGAAGGGUGUGGGGUUUUCUGUGCAUACGCUCAGGAAGUUGAGUCCCGGUGAAACGUGUCAGGUUGCCAUUUCCCAGGCUGGAAAGAUUUUCCCAGGACGGGUAUGAAUAGACGAUGAAAGUGCACACUCUUACCCGGCUGCCCGACCCAGGUGCCAGGCUUCUGACUCAGGACCAUCUGUGGGUGCGAGUGCAGGGAGGUGAGUCACUGCAGCCUUGCUCAGUCCCCCUGCAGAGGUCAGAUCCUGGGCCCCAAAAGCUGCUCCAGGAUGAAAGCCUGCUCUCAGUGAGACUAAAAUCCUGGUCAUUUGUGUUCUGCAGUCAUGAGCAUGUAACCCUAAUGUAGAACAACAACUUAGCCAAUGACUAUUUUUUCUGUUCAUGCCACAGUACCUGAAGGAGAAUUGCUGCUUCUCUUAAUGGUGCCUGCCACCCAACCCAAUAGUUAGCAUGUGAACGUCUUGCUUGAGAUCAGCUUCUGGGUGUAAAAAUAAAUUUAAAUAUAGAAAAUUCAAAUAA